UACGGAGGAUCCCAGCGUUAUCCGGAUUUAUUGGGUUUAAAGGGUGCGUAGGCGGCCUAUUAAGUCAGGGGUGAAAGACGGUAGCUUAACUAUCGCAGUGCCUUUGAUACUGAUGGGCUUGAAUACACUAGAGGUAGGCGGAAUGUGACAAGUAGCGGUGAAAUGCAUAGAUAUGUCACAGAACACCAAUUGCGAAGGCAGCUUACUAUGGUGCAAUUGACGCUGAGGCACGAAAGCGUGGGGAUCAAACAGG
rnacentral:rRNA from 1 species